rnacentral:rRNA from 1 species
GACGAACGCUGGCGGCGUGCUUAACACAUGCAAGUCGUACGGUAAGGCCCUUUCGGGGGUACACGAGUGGCGCACGGGUGAGUAACACGUGAGUAACCUGCCCACAACUUUGGGAUAACGCUAGGAAACUGGUGCUAAUACUGGAUAUGUGCUCCUGCUGCAUGGUGGGGGUUGGAAAGCUCCGGCGGUUGUGGAUGGACUCGCGGCCUAUCAGCUUGUUGGUGGGGUAGUGGCCUACCAAGGCGGCGACGGGUAGCCGGCCUGAGAGGGUGACCGGCCACAUUGGGACUGAGAUACGGCCCAGACGCCUACGGGAGGCAGCAGUGGGGAAUAUUGCACAAGGGGCGCAAGCCUGAUGCAGCAACGCCGCGUGCGGGAGGACGGCCUUCGGGUUGUAAACCGCUUUCAGCAGGGACGAAGCUUUUUGUGACGGUACCUGCAGAAGAAGCACCGGCUAACUACGUG